AAUAGCCUGCGAUGUGCGAGGAGCCAUUUAAUUCAACCGACAUGAUUUAUACGGGAGUCUGCGUUUGUGCAAGGAUGACGAACCUGCUAGUCAGGAUAUCAGAGAUGCAUGACAAGACACCCACCUGCUUUUGAGCGGGGAUGAAUUACUUGGACCUCGGCAAAGCGGGUUUUAA
rnacentral:other from 1 species